UACGGAGGAUGCAAGCGUUAUCCGGAAUUAUUGGGCGUAAAGCGUCCGCAGGUGGCUCUUCAAGUCUGCUGUCAAAUACCAGAGCUCAACUCUGGGCAGGCGGUGGAAACUGGAGAACUAGAGUACGGUAGGGGUAGAGGGAAUUCCCAGUGUAGCGGUGAAAUGCGUAGAGAUUGGGAAGAACACCAGUGGCGAAGGCGCUCUACUGGACCGUAACUGACACUCAGGGACGAAAGCUAGGGGAGCGAAAGGG
rnacentral:rRNA from 1 species